GGGGGGGGCAAGCGUUGUUCGGAAUUACUGGGCGUAAAGGGCUUGUAGGUGGCCAACUAAGUCAGACGUGAAAUCCCCCGGCUUAACCGGGGAACUGCGUCUGAUACUGGAUGGCUAGAGUUUGGGAGAGGGAUGCGGAAUUCCAGGUGUAGCGGUGAAAUGCGUAGAUAUCUGGAGGAACACCGGUGGCGAAGGCGGCAUCCUGGACCAACACUGACACUGAAAAGCGAAAGCCAGGGGAGCAAACGGGAUUAGAUACCCCGGUAGUCCUGGCCCUAAACGAUGAAUGCUUGGUGUGGCGGGUAUCGAUCCCUGCCGUGCCGAAGCUAACGCAUUAAGCAUUCCGCCUGGGGAGUACGGUCGCAA
rnacentral:rRNA from 1 species